ensembl:lncRNA
ACCUAGACGUUUCUCCAUGAAAUAAGAAAGCAAGAAGGUAAUCUUGACCCAGAGAACAACUGUUUAGGCAGAAUACCAUGUGUGGGUGGAUGAACAAAAGGUGUGGGAAAAGGUAAGAACAGAAUGAGCCCUUUUUGCAUUGUAUGUUGCUGUUUGCUAGUCUCACUAUUAUGAUUUUGUACUGUCUGUAGGCACUGUGACAGCAGGGAGGCAGGCAUUCUCUUGCUACUUUAUGAUUCAGUAAGAAAAGGAUGAGGUUCCAGAAGUGAAGGAUGUAGAAGAGAUGACUUCAGUUGGUGCACAAGACAUUUAUUUCAAGUAGCCGUUUCAGGGCUAAGACUUUGCCCACCAUCUUCACCCCCUGCAGUACUCUGGUUUCUGAAACUUCAAGCCUGCUGAGCAAGCCUGUUAGGUUUCACAGAAGGAAAAUUCAGAUGUGUAGACUCAGGGGAGCUGGGGAGUCCUCUGCAAAGUGGACUUGAAAAUACUUUUGCAAUUUGCUGAAACAAGUAAACUGAAGUGCAGAAGAGAGGCUGAGACGUGGCAAGGAAUUGGUUAAUCCUGAAAUGUAAAAUAUGUGAAAAAUCUGCACUAUUUUGAUUUUUAGCAUAUAUGGUAUUGCUGGGUUAGGUUUCCUAGGGUUUCAUAUGUACAAAAAAUUCACUCAUCGCAAUACUGUGAAAUAAAUGCAUUUACAUGCCAUACCAGAAUCUGGUAUUAUUUGCCUGUACAGGGUUUCAUAAGGUGGACCUCUGUGGAAAAUGACUUAAGACUUCCAGCAGUAACUUCUCCUUCUCUCUUGGAAGAGAAAGAUAUCCUUGUGCUCUUGGUUCUGUGUAUUCUGGAGCUUUCCUGUCAGCUUGAGUGGAUCAGAACAAGUCUGUCUCCAUUGAUCAGACUUCUGAAGAUUAAUGCUCAAACACUGAAACUUUCCCCACGCUGCACUGCUAAAUUGAUGCAGCAAAACACUUGAACACACGCAACCAAACUGAAGUUUAAAACCAGUCACACAGAAUUGAGUUUAUCUUUGUAUUAGUUUAAAAUCUGCUUGAAGACCAUUAUCUUUGUGCAUCCUUUCAGGAAAGCUUUAUUAGGCACCAGAGG